rnacentral:rRNA from 1 species
GAUGAACGCUGGCGGCGUGCUUAACACAUGCAAGUCGAACGAAACACCUUAUUUGAUUUUCUUCGGAACUGAAGAUUUGGUGAUUGAGUGGCGGACGGGUGAGUAACGCGUGGGUAACCUGCCCUGUACAGGGGGAUAACAGUCAGAAAUGACUGCUAAUACCGCAUAAGACCACAGCACCGCAUGGUGCAGGGGUAAAAACUCCGGUGGUACAGGAUGGACCCGCGUCUGAUUAGCUGGUUGGUGAGGUAACGGCUCACCAAGGCGACGAGCAGUAGCCGGCUUGUGAGAGUGAACGGCCACAUUGGGACUGAGACACGGCCCAAACUCCUACGGGAGGCAGCAGUGGGGAAUAUUGCACAAUGGGGGAAACCCUGAUGCAGCGACGCCGCGUGAGUGAAGAAGUAUUUCGGUAUGUAAAGCUCUAUCAGCAGGGAAGAAAAUGACGGUACCUGACUAAGAAGCCCCGGCUAACUACGUG